ACGGGAGGCAGCAGUGGGGAAUAUUGGACAAUGGGGGGAACCCUGAUCCAGCGACGCCGCGUGAGUGAAGAAGUAUUUCGGUAUGUAAAGCUCUUUAAGCAGGGAAGAAAAUGACGGUACCUGCAGAAUAAGCCCCGGCUAACUACGUGCCAGCAGCCGCGGUAAUACGUAGGGGGCAAGCGUUAUCCGGAUUUACUGGGUGUAAAGGGAGCGUAGACGGCAUGGCAAGUCUGAAGUGAAAGCCCGUGGCUUAACUGCGGGACUGCUUUGGAAACUGUCACGCUAGAGUGUCGGAGAGGUGAGUGGAACUCCCAGUGUAGCGGUGAAAUGCGUAGAUAUUAGGAGGAACACCAGUGGCGAAGGCGGCUUGCUGGACGACAACUGACGCUGAGGCGCGAAAGCGUGGGGAGCAAACAGGAUUAGAUACCCUGGUA
rnacentral:rRNA from 1 species